rnacentral:rRNA from 1 species
AUGCACGCUGGCGGCGUGCCUCAUCCAUGCCAGUCGAGCGAACAGAUGAGGAGCUUGCUCCUCUGACGUUAGCGGCGGACGGGUGAGUACACGUGGAUAACCUACCUAUAAGACUGGGAUAACUUCGGGAAACCGGAGCUAAUACCGGAUAAUAUAUUGAACCGCAUGGUUCACUAGUGAAAGACGGUUUUGCUGUCACUUAUAGAUGGAUCCGCGCCGCAUUAGCUAGUUGGUAAGGUAACGGCUUACCAAGGCAACGAUGCGUAGCCGACCUGAGAGGGUGAUCGGCCACACUGGAACUGAGACACGGUCCAGACUCCUACGGGAGGCAGCAGUAGGGAAUCUUCCGCAAUGGGCGAAAGCCUGACGGAGCAACGCCGCGUGAGUGAUGAAGGUCUUCGGAUCGUAAAACUCUGUUAUUAGGGAAGAACAAAUGUGUAAGUAACUAUGCACGUCUUGACGGUACCUAAUCAGAAAGCCACGGCUAACUACGUG